AGUUCGUGUGGCUUUAGAUUGACUUUCCUUAUCUUUGAUGUAUUACGCUGAUCAGCCAUGCAAUCCACACCCUCUAACGGCUCGACCGCUCGCACCAGUACCGCGCAUCCGUCACCUAAGAUCUUACCAAUAGUGAGACAAAAAUUAUUUAGUUUCGAGGGCCAAAUAAGAUGACAAGGUCAGUUUGAUCUUAAGUGGCGUUGCUAAGAUCGCAACGAGACGCAAUUCACUAUAAUUAAUCUGAGGCCUGUGUCUUCAGUCGUGUAGACCGCGGAAACGCUCGGAACUACACGCGACUAUCUUCAACAGUACAGAACAAUGUAAUAAGAUUAUAGAUAUCCAAAAAUUAUGGUGGACUUUUACAUUCAUCUCGAUCCCGUCUAUCUUCCUAUUAAGAAUUGGAUGCUAUUCAUAUUUCUCCCUGUAUAAUACUUAUACAUUAUAUUAUAUAUAAUACUUAAUUUUGAUUGCAAUAAAACUUCUCUAAUAUAUAUCAUAUUUAUAAUAUAAAACAAAGUACAUGAAAAUGAUCCUCUUUGUUAACUUUAGUUGCAAAUUUAUCAAAAUUGUAACGUGAUAAAGCAAUUUGGCAAUUAGAUUUGUAUUCAGAGAGAUUAAAAACCUAAAAGAAACAGAAAAUGAUUAUUCCUUGAUUCUGGUAUUACUUUUUCCGUUGAACUAUGUAAUUUAUAUAAAAUAAACUAAUAAAAAG